UUUAGGAUCAGGUUCGUCGCUCCUCUUCGUUAAGCAGCGUCUGUUCUGCUUCCACGAUCUCUGAAACGGCCAGAUUAAUGGCUUAUGUGAUUAAUUCCAUUAACUCGAUCUUCAUCUUUCUUGACGACGUCUCUUAUAUGUCACUGAUGAGGCGGCGUAAAUUUUCGACGAUGCAUUUAAUCAAAGGCAUUUACUCAAUAUUGACCUAUAAAUAAGUGUGUCCGGUUCUGUUAGAUUCAUCAGUUUCUCUUUCUCAAUCGCUAUAGUCCUUGUAAAAUCUCUCACCAGGAAUGACUGACUCAUUGAUUUUGCUAGCCGACUUGAAAGCUGGAUGUUGCUUCAACACUGAAGUCUGAUUGUUGAAGCUCCUCCUUGACGAGAAGGCCACAAUGAUUCAAGGUUCCGUCCAUGCCCACCGCCUCAACACCUUCCGCGUAGCACUGUUAACUUCAAGCUGUCCGACUCCGAUCUCUCUAUAGGCUUCAAUGAAACCGUCUUGCUGAGAUAACCUAACCGGCCAAUCCAAUACCCAUGUAGCUGCUCAAGUUCUGCAAUGAACAUCAGGUACUUGCAAACAUCAAUACUCAUCUCCUGGGUACUAACCUAACUGGCGCGCGGGUCAGGGUCUAGUUAUAGUUAUACAACCACUUAGUUCUUCAUCAGCUCUUUCUUUCUCUAUGUUCUUCAUUUUAUCCACUCAGCCUAUAUCUUCUUUUCUUUUACUGUUAGUUCUCAGUUCUCAUAUACUAUAUAUUUUCUUAUCAAGGAAAACUUUGAACAGAAUUUAGAGUUUUAGGAUUUCUAGUUCUGCUCUUUUAAAUUUUAGUACUUCUGAAUUGGUGUUUUGGCUUUAAACUUUUAAUCUACCAAUGGAAUUGGUAUUUUAGUUUUCUUUUUACUGUCUUUAUCAAUGGCUUAAGUUCUUAACAUAACUUAAAAGUUAGGAAUAAAUAAUUACGGUUUUUCAUGUGUGUUACACAUGGCGAUCGACUUGCCUCGUCAUGGCGCUUGGCGAGGGUCGAGCACCUCAUCGCAUUUGUUCGCAACACGCUAUUUAAAACCAGCUUGCACCUUUGAUUAUCCAGUAACGGUUACUUGACUUAUAACUUCGAAUGAACACUUGCAAACACCAACCUAUUACACCACCAUAUCCGGAGACUAGAGAACUUGGCAAGUCAUGUACCCUUCUCAUAUGCUAAUUACUCAUCUCUCUCCUAUUUUGUUUCUUUCAAACUUCUGUGAAUUUAAUGAUUGAUAUUUUUUUGUAGAUGAUGUUUUGCGUAUAGUGAUUGCGGGAAUGGAGAGAUAUGCGUUAAAAGGAGUUGCAUCGAACUUAGUAAUAUAUCUAAGAAAAUGUAAUGAAGAUGAGUAAUUCAAGAGCAGUCAAGACAGUAAACACUUGGGCUGGUUUUAUUUCUAUGUUGCCUCUCUUCUCUGCUCCUUUGGUGAUGCGUAUUGUAGAUUCUUCACUAUCCUUGCUUCACUAUCCUUGCUUCUUAUUCUGUCUACUUUGUGGUACGAGUCUUUUACAUUGAACUAUAUACAUAUUUGUGUCAGUCUAUGUAUACUUACGUUGAUGUUGAAACACUCUUUAUCGUCAAAUUAUGUUUAUCCAAUGAGAUUUGCUAUUGGCUA